rnacentral:rRNA from 1 species
UACAGAGGUGGCAAGCGUUGUUCGGAAUUACUGGGCGUAAAGGGCGCGUAGGCGGCUUGGUCAGUCCCGUGUGAAAUCCCUCGGCUCAACUGAGGAACUGCACGGGAAACUGCCUGGCUUGAGUUCGGGAGAGGGAAGCGGAAUUCCGGGUGUAGCGGUGAAAUGCGUAGAUAUCAGGAGGAACACCGGUGGCGAAAGCGCUCAUCUGGCCCAAUACUGACGCUGAGGCGCGAAAGCUAGGGGAGCAAACGGG